rnacentral:rRNA from 1 species
UACGUAGGGUGCAAGCGUUGUCCGGAAUUAUUGGGCGUAAAGAGCUCGUAGGCGGUUCGUCGCGUCGGCUGUGAAAACCUGAGGCUCAACCUCAGGCCUGCAGUCGAUACGGGCGGACUUGAGUACUGCAGGGGAGACUGGAAUUCCUGGUGUAGCGGUGAAAUGCGCAGAUAUCAGGAGGAACACCGGUGGCGAAGGCGGGUCUCUGGACCGAUACUGACGCUGAGGCGCGAAAGCGUGGGGAGCAAACAGG